rnacentral:tRNA from 1 species
UGGGAUACUAUUUUAAUAUAAAAUUCCUCUUUUGCGUAGAGGUGAUGCUCAUAGAGCGUAUCUUAU